CUGGUGUCAGCCGCCGCGGUAAUACCAGCACCCCGAGUGGUCGGGACGAUUAUUGGGCCUAAAGCAUCCGUAGCCGGUACUGCAAGUCUUCCGUUAAAUCCACCUGCUCAACAGUUGGGCUGCGGAGGAUACUACAGCGCUAGGAGGCGGGAGAGGCAAGCGGUACUCAGUGGGUAGGGGUAAAAUCCAUUGAUCCAUUGAAGACCACCAGUGGCGAAGACGGCUUGCCAGAACGCGCUCGACGGUGAGGGAUGAAAGCUGGGGGAGCAAACCGGAUUAGAUACCCGGGUAGUCCCAGCUGUAAACGAUGCAGACUCGGUGAUGGGCUGGCCUUGUGCCAACCCAGUGCCGCAGGGAAGCCGUUAAGUCUGCCGCCUGGGGAGUACGGUCGCAAGACUGAAACUUAAAG
rnacentral:rRNA from 2 species